rnacentral:rRNA from 1 species
GGCGACGGGUGAGUAACACGUGGCUAACCUGCCCAGUGGAGGGGGAUAACCCGGGGAAACCCGGGCUAAUACCGCGUAUGGCCUACGGGUCAAAGUCUUCGGACGCCACUGGAUGGGGCCGCGGCCCAUUAUUUAAUCCUGGUUGGUGAGGUAACGGCUCACCAAGGGUACGAUGGGUAGCAGGUCUGAGAGGACGAUCAGCCACACUGGGACUGAGACACGGCCCAGACUCCUACGGGAGGCAGCAGUGGGGAAUAUUGCGCAAUGGGCGAAAGCCUGACGCAGCCACGCCGCGUGAGUGAUGAAGGCCCUCGGGUUGUAAAGCUCUGUCGGGAGGGAAGAAGAUCUGACGGUACCUCCCAAGAAAGCACCGGCUAACUCCGUGCCAGCAGCCGCGGUAAUACGGAGGGUGCAAGCGUUGCUCGGAAUCACUGGGCGUAAAGCGGACGCAGGCGGAUCAGAAGGUCAGGCGUGAAAGCCCGGGGCUCAACCCCGGAAUUGCGCUUGAAACCGUUGGCUGGGAAUACGGGAGAGGGAAGCGGAAUUCCUGGUGUAGAGGUGAAAUUCGUAGAUAUCAGGAGGAACACCGGUGGCGAAAGCGGCUUCCUGGCCCGAUAUUGACGCUCAUGUCCGAAAGCGUGGGUAGCAAACAGGAUUAGAUACCCUGGUAGUCCACGCCGUAAACGAUGAGUGCUAGCUGGUGGAUUCGUCUACGAUUUACCGGCGCAGCUAACGCAUUAAGCACUCCGCCU